AGCGAACGCUGGCGGCAGGCUUAACACAUGCAAGUCGAGCGGGCAUCCUUGUGGUGUCAGCGGCAGGCGGGUGAGUAACGCGUGGGAACGUGCCCUUCGGUUCGGAAUAACUCAGGGAAACUUGAGCUAAUACCGGAUACGCCCUUUUGGGGAAAGGUUUACUGCCGAAGGAUCGGCCCGCGUCUGAUUAGCUAGUUGGUGAGGUUACGGCUCACCAAGGCGACGAUCAGUAGCUGGUCUGAGAGGAUGAUCAGCCACACUGGGACUGAGACACGGCCCAGACUCCUACGGGAAGCAGCAGUGGGGAAUAUUGGACAAUGGGGGCAACCCUGAUCCAGCCAUGCCGCGUGAGUGAUAACAGCCUUAGGGUUGUAAAGCUCUUUUCUCCGGGACGAUAAUGACGGUACCGGAGGAAUAAGCCCCGGCUAACUUCGUG
rnacentral:rRNA from 1 species